GAUGAAGAACGUAGCGAAAUGCGAUACUUGGUGUUAAUUGCAGAAUCCCGUGAACCAUCGAGUCUUUGAACGCAAGUUGCGCCUCAAGCCAUUAGGUUGAGGGCACGUCUGCCUGGGCGUCACAUAUCGUUGCCUGAUGCCAGUUUCCUCGUGAUGGGUGACUGUGCAGGGCGAAUGAUGGCUUCCCGUGAGCAUUGUUGCCUCAUGGUUGGUUGAAAAUUGAGUCCUUGGUAGGGAGCGCCGUGAUAGAUGGUGGUUGAGUGACGAACGAGACCCAAUCAUGUGAGACCCCUACCGAAUUUGGCCUUCAUGACCCACAUGCGUCUUUGGAACGCUCAUGACGAGACCUCAGGUCAGGCGGGGCUACCCGCUGAGUUUAAGCAUAUCAAUAAGCGGAGGA
rnacentral:misc_RNA from 1 species